GUGCAAGUCUCGCAACCACUUCAGUAUGAAUGGUGAAGCUGCACAAGAAAACUCUGGUGCAGCAAUUAAAAAAGUUAGGACAGACGCAGAGAGGGACAGAGACAGAGAAAGCGCACACAUGGUUUCCUGAUGUGUUGGUUUUUAUUUUGCAGUGCAAAAGAUUGAAAGUGAAAGAAAAUGUUUCAGCGCUGGUGUAGAUGUGCGCCUCGCAAAUGUUGGCAGUUGAAAAAGAAAAAGACGUGCAAAGUUUGCGUCUGACCGCCAGUGAUGUGGGUUUGCAGUGAAGACUUUCUGAUGAAGAGGAGGAUGAAGACUGAUACACUGUGCUACGGCGCAAGAUUGAGAAACGUCUCACCACAGGACCAUCAUGCUGGUUUCUACCACAUUUACUCAUCCUGACAACUGAUGGGAAAACUACCUCAGCAAAGCUCAUCAAGUAGGAGUUAACAUUUGACAUAUGGCUGAGUCAGUUUGGGGUCAUGACAUCAUCAUCAUGAGAUGGGGCGGGUGCUGGGUGGCGACCGCAGGCGGCAACAGAAGACGUUGUGCUGUAUGCCCUUGUUUGCAGCUGCUGCUUCUUGGCAAAAAAAGAAUGUGCUGUGGAGUUGCCUCAGGGAAAAAUGUGCUCAAAUGUUGAAAGUAAGAACCAAAUCAAAAGGUUUGGAAGGGCAGUAAGUAAGAGUUGUAUUGUCGCAUUGCACCAGAUGACCAUUAAACACCUGCAGGAGGUGGAUAGCGUUUGUGUCCAGGUGCUGUGGUUUGUUGGCUUUCCAAACUUAUUCCUUUUCUUUUAGUUUCGCUUGUGAGCUGUUUUGGCUCGAAAUCCCCAGACCCAGUGAAGUCAUGCAGAUGCUGGUAAAAUCCCAGCUGGUGAUGAACACAGCAAGUAACACAAUUAGUAUUAUUUAUAUAUAUAUAUAUAUAUAUAUAUAUACACUGAAUAGUGUAUAUAUACACUGACCAAAAAUUAGAAACGCAACACUAUAUAUAUUUUAGCGAGGACCAGUGUAUAAGUAUCUAGUGUGACCACCAUUUGCCUCAUUUGCCUUGAGUUGAUGAGGCUGUUGAUUGUGGCCUGUGGAACGUUGGUCUACACCUCUUCAAUGGCUGUGCGAAGUUGCUGGAUAUUGGCAGGACCUGGAACACACUCUCGUAUACGCCGAUCCAGAGCAUCCCAAACAUGCUCAAUGGACGACACGUCCUGUGAGUAUGCUGGCCAUGCAAGAACUGGGAUGUUUUCAGCUUCCAGGAAUUGUGUGCAGAUCCUUGCAACAUGGAGCCAUGCAUUAUCAUGAUGCAACAUGAGGUGAUGGUCAUGGAUGAAUGGCACAACAAUGGGCCUCAGGAUCUAGUCAUCGAUAAAAUGCACCUUUGUUUCUUGUCAAUAACAUACAUCUGGCCAUACCGUAACCCCACCGCCACUGUGGGCCACUCUAUCUACAACGUUGACAUCAACAAACCAAUCACCCACACGGUGCCAUACAAGCUGUCUGUCAUCUUCCUUUUACAGUGUAAACCGGGAUUCAUCCGUGAAGAGAACACCUCUCCAAAGUACCAGACUGGAUGUGGAGGUCCUGGGCUGGUGUAGUUACAUGUAGUCUGCGGUUGUGAGGCCGGUUGGAUGUACUGCCAAAUUCUCUUAAAUAACCUUUGGAGACAGCUUAUGAAUAUUAAAUUCACGGACAAAUGCUCUGGUGGGCAUUCCUGCAGUCAGCAUGCCAAAUGCACGCUCCCUCAAAACUUUCGAUAUCUGUGGGAUUGUGCUGUGUGAUAAAACUGCACACUUUAGACUGGCCUUUUAUUGUGGCCAGCCUAAGGCCCACCUGUGCAAUAAUCAUGCUGUCUAAUCAGCAUCUUGAUGUACCACACCUGUGAGGUGGAUGGAAUAUCUCGGCAAAGGAGAAGUGGUCACUAACACAGAUUUGGACAGAAUUGUGAACAAAAUUUGAAAGAAAUAAGCCUUUUGUGUGUACAUAGAAAAAGUCUUAGAUCUUUGCUCAGCUCAUGAAAAAUGUGGCCAAAACCAAAAAUUUUGUUCAGUGUAUAAAUAUACAGUAUGUAUAUGUAUAUAUAUAUAUAUAUAUAUAUAUAUAUAUAUAUAUAUAUAUAUAUAUAUAUAUAUAUUAGUGAUUGAUUGAUAUUGUGUGUACAUUUUGAAACACUUUUUUUUACAACCGUAAACUGUUCAAUAAUAAUAUUUUGAGUGAUAAUCACUAAGGAUUUAUUUUUAACGAUUAUCACUAAAGAGUUACACGUUUUUAUUGGCGGCUGAAACCUUGCAUGUAACCUUUCCUUGUAUGAGGAAUCUCUGCUGCUAAUCCUGAUUUACUAUCUAAGAAAUUAAUAAAAUAUCUUACAAGGUUUAGUUCUUUGUUUACUAAAGUCAUUAUGUUUGGCAGGGAGAUUGGCGCUAGCAGACUCUCAAGAGCAGUAAGACACAAAAAACACACACAACCACUGAUUUAAUAGAAUGAGAAAAUAUUAUCAAUAGAAAAUUAAUUCAUGAAAGGUUUGGUUCAGUUUCAUUUCUCUGGUAUGCCUUACUUCCCUUUUCUUAAGUUUUUCAUUAUCUUUAGAAAACCAAAUUAGGUCCACCUGACUAAAAUCUCCCUAGGUCAAUAAAACAUGGACAUGAUUAGAAAACAAAUAAAUGUACAGCCAAAGUAUAUAUAGUAAUACAAUUAUAAUAAAAUAAAGGUUAAAAAAGAAAAUGCUCAACUCUCAGUACCAGGUGUAUAGCCAUACGGAAAAAUUAAACAUAUUCUCUGUUUGAACAAAUUGGUUCAGUUAUUAGUUCUUAAUAGUAUCAAGUUCUUGAGUACAGUAUGCUGUUAUUUUGUUUGUAUAACUUUGUGUAUUUACAGGUUUUCUCCUAUUCAACUAAACAUCCUUUGAUGACUAAAUUCAUUUGUUCUUCCUCUCUGUGUUGCAGAUAAUAUACCUUGCCUGUAUCUACAUCAAAUAAAUCUAUUCUAUUAAAUCUGAUUUUGGAAUUUAAUUAAAAAAAGGUCAAAACUGGUAACGGCAAUGAAUGACGCAAGGUGACGUAACAGACAUCAUUGCGUCAUGGACUAAGGUCUAAAAUUACCAAUACCACAAUGUACAAAUACUCCACUACAAGUACUGUGUAGGCCUACAACUCUUACAAAUCUUAAAUAGCCAAAGUAAAAGUACUUGUUCUGCAGGAAAAUGUAUAAGUAACGUUAUAAGAAUUAAAGUGUAAACUGCUAUAUAUACAAUACCAGUCACAAGUUUGGACACGCUUUCUAAUUCACUUGAAUGGGAAAGCGUGUCCAAACUUUUGACUGGUACUGUAUUUACCAGUAUGGCAUUUUUAAAUGCAUGUAACUCUGUUCAUUUUAAAACGCCUUCAUCUCUCAGUCCGUGCCUUUUACCCCCUCUGUAUAUUAGCAUUCACACCACCGCCUGGAAACGUCAGCAUUCCAUUUACUCCUAAUUCAUAAUAAUCAAUGCUCCUUUUUUUCUUUUAUUUUCAGACAUUGUGCUGUUGUUUCAAACAUCUCAUCUGCAGCAGCAGAGACAAGAGAUCAAAAGUGAGAUAAAAAUGCUGAUUAUAAAAAAGGAAGAAAGGCAGAUCUUGUGUGGGUGUGUUAGUGUUUGAAAGAGAGCGUAUGAACCAUAGGAAGAGAAGGGACAAACAGCAAACAGGAAAGAGUGUGUGUGUGAAAGAGAGCAAGACAGUGUGAGUCAGAGGAGAGAGAGAAUGAGGAGGGGAGAUACAUUUGUCCACCUGUAAAGCUUGUUUGAGACAUCAGGCCUGUCAUAGCAGAAGUUCAUCCUGUCUGUAAGUAUCUGAUGACAAUAGACCAAUUAAACAUCUCAGACCGAGGAAGCGAUCUGUUCUUGUUGGUGUAUUUGAAGGAGAACUACAGUUCACGUUUCUGUAAACCAUAUUUAGGACAUGUUCACAUACACGUUUGCAUCGACACCCACUGGUGAGAAUUGUUCAAAACUGAACACCUUUUAUUUUAAACAAUGCUGCAAAGUGAUAAUGGAGGCAGACAGCAAGUGACCAAAACUGAACAUUAUUUACCGUUCUAUUUACAACUCGCGGAUGGAUCAUGAAACCUAAUUUCACAAAAUGCAAAGGGGGAAAAAACACAUCUGCCGUUUGAUUAAUACAAAAA